CCUACGGGUGGCUGCAGUGGGGAAUUUUGGACAAUGGGCGCAAGCCUGAUCCAGCUAUUCCGCGUGUGGGAAGACGGCCUUCGGGUUGUAAACCACUUUUGUAGAGGACGAAAAGUCUAUUGAUAAUACCGAUAGACGAUGACGGUACUCUCAGAAUAAGCACCGGCUAACUACGUGCCAGCAGCCGCGGUAAUACGUAGGGUGCGAGCGUUAAUCGGAAUUACUGGGCGUAAAGCGUGUGCAGGCUGUUUUUCAAGAUGGAUGUGAAAGCCCCGGGCUUAACCUGGGAAAGGCAUACAUGACUGGAAGACGUGAGGGGGUCAGAGGGGGGUGGAAUUCCAAGGGUAGCAGUGAAAUGCGUAGAUAUUUGGAAGAACACCGAUGGCGAAGGCAGCCCCCUGGGAGGAAACUGACGCUCAUACACGAAAGCGUGGGGAGCAAACAGGAUUAGAUACCCCAGUAGUC
rnacentral:rRNA from 1 species